AGAUUGGGCCGCUGGGCACUGGGCUGGAUGCUGCCCUGCUGCUAGAAUGGCCUAGGGGCCUGCUGGCGCUGGAACGGGCCUGCUGCUGGUUGGCCUAUUUGCUGCCUGGCCUGCUAGGCCUGCUAGAUUGGGCUGCUACCUGGGAUUAGGCCUGGCCUGCUACUGGGGGGGCUGCUGUUGUUUUUUUCCUACUGGGCUGUUAUUUUGGGCUGCUGGGUGGUCUGCUGUCAAGGCGGGUCGGGUCAGGUCUGGUGCGGGUCAAGUCGGGUCGGAUCAACCCGACUGAUAUAUUAUUUUUUCUUUUUUUCUUUUUUCUUUUCUCUUUUCAAUUUCUUGUUCUUUCUAUUUUUUUCUUUUUUCUUCUUAUUCCUCCUCCUCUUUCGAACCCUAGCCCACCGCCGUUUGCGCUACCGCUGCUGCCUCGGCUUGGUGGUGCAACGAUGGUUAGUCUCUUCUCUCCUCUUUUCUCUUUUCCUUUUUCUUCUCUUUUUUCUCUUUUCCUUCUCUCCUUUUUUUUUUCUUUUUUUCUUUCUUUCCUCUCUUUCUCUUCUAUUUCGACGACCCCAAAGUGGAGGGCACCACCGCCGUGCUCGUCCUCAGCUCCUCUUCGCACUCGGUGGCUGACGACUCAAGGGUAAGCGUUUUUUCUCCCCAAAAUUUGGUUCUUGGCUGCUGCUUCUUUGAAUUCUUUUUUAGUUUUCUUGAAUUUUUUGGUUGUUUCUUGAUUGGCUUUUAGGUGGUGAUUUUGGCGAUGGAGUGGUGAUGGUGGUGGCGUGAUGGUGGCGAUGGCUUUGGCUGUUGUUUCCUUAGUGUUUUGCUGUUAUUUUUUUAAUUUUUUUCUUUUCUUUGCUGCCCAAAAAUCCCUUUCUCCUUUAGUUUUUUUCUUUUUAAUCCUCUUGAUUUUGUCUUCUUUCCCUUUGUCUUCAGGUGAUAGUGGAGCAAUAUUGGCCUAGGGAGGCCGCUGAUUGGGGUGAUUUGACAUGUCUAGAGGACUAAACUGUAGAGAAUGCAAAACUUUUAGGGCAAAAGCACAGUUUUAUAAGAAUAUGGGGCCAAAAUGUAAUUACUUGAAAGUUUAG
rnacentral:lncRNA from 1 species